UACAGAGGUCUCAAGCGUUGUUCGGAUUCAUUGGGCGUAAAGGGUGCGUAGGCGGCGGGGUAAGUCUGGUGUGAAAUCUCGGAGCUCAACUCCGAAAUUGCACUGGAUACUGCUCUGCUAGAGGGCUGGAGAGGAGAUCGGAAUUCCCGGUGUAGUGGUGAAAUGCGUAGAUAUCGAGAGGAACACCAGUGGCGAAGGCGGCUCACUGGGCUCCGCCUGACGCUGAGGCGCGAAAGCGUGGGGAGCGAACCGG
rnacentral:rRNA from 1 species